CGCCAUCGUCCUCCACAGCUCCACGAAGGCCGCAGCAACACACUGUAGUCCUUGUAGUGCCUCUCUCUCCAUCGUCCUUUCUGCACUCUGCCACUCUGUCUAUAUCAGCAGAUUAUCAAUAAUGGAGCCUAAGUCAGUUUGAUCAUAGUAUGAGGGAUAACAUUGGUGAAACUGAAGGUGGAAUUGGUGGAUAUGUAAUAUUGUAAUGCUUUCAAUGCUGUCGGACAGCACUGGCGGUGCGGCUCUUUUGGUUCUGUUCUUUCUAAUUUGUUCUUGCAGCUUUGGUAUAGGAUGCAUCCAAAGAUAUGCAAAUCCUCUUCACUGCAUUUUGAUGACAAUAAAGCACAAAAUAUGAGCCAAUAACGUAUAUUUGAUGGAUUGUUGCUGGUUGUUGACUUGUUUAUUUCAUUGUUGCUGCCUUGCUGGUUGUUCUGUUGAAUUACUAAAUUGCUUUUGAGUUUUGAAGUGAUUUAGUAUGAUUUAUCAAUUGUUGGAGGUUUUGAAUUACUGAAUUAUUGUUGAAUUACUUUAUUGUUGGUAUUGUUGCUGCUUGGUUAAUGAUUUUGUAAAUUGCUUGAUUUUGUAAAUUGUUUGUAAAUUGAUUUUGUUGUUUAAUGUAUUUCUUUAGUAAGUUUGAUGUCAGUUCAAGUGAGAA